rnacentral:lncRNA from 1 species
AUGCCUCGCCGCGUGGAUCUGGUCCCUUCCCGGCACUCUAUUUUAUAUAUUAAAAAAGAAGAAGAAGAAAUAAUGUAUUUUUGCACAACCUUUUUAGAGACUGGCUUUCGGAAACUGCUUUCCACGACCUUGCUCUCUGGGACAGGCAUCCGUGGCGGGUGGGCCUUCUGUCGUGGACGUGGGAGUCUCGCCGUCCUCUCUGAUUCCGCGUGGACGCGGAUGCGUGCGUGUAUCCGGAUGCUCCACCCAUUCCGUGUUGACAGAGUUGUUGUUACGGAAAUCAUUAUUUUUCUAGAGAUGGUCGAUUUUUUUUUUUUUUUAAGAACCCAAGGGAAGGUGUGGGAAGAUUCUGUUUGUUUUCCUUCAGAGGCAGUGCCAGGUCUUACUUGAAUCAAAGUCUUGAUUUCUGCUGUGGGCGGAGUGCCCGUGAUGGCUGCUCUCGGGUGUGUGCAGUGGGUGUCUGCCCUCGUUGCUUUAUCUCCAACUGUCACUUUGUUACACGAGGAUUUCCACUCCAGUCUGUGACCAGAUAAACCUCCUGCUUCCUGGCUUCUUGGAUUCAGCUAAAGAGAUCUGGAAACCAAGGUAAACGCCUGGAGCCAGCCCUGGCAGGAAUUUGACGGCAGGAAAAUACUGUCUUAAUAUUGUGUUCAAAAGGCAAAAUAGGAGUCCCCUGUGUUCUGUCAAGAUGUCUGUGAACAGAGCUUGUGUGGUUUGCUGGGUCAAACGAUGUUUCCAACCUACACUCUAUCUCAUUGCCACUUUACCUAUUUUUAGUCCUAUUUAUUAAGUAAUGCAGUUUGUACUUUUUUAUUUUGUAACAUUUUGUGAUUUUUUUGUACAAUACUGUAUUUGAGCAAUUCUCAGCUGAUGGAAUGAAUAAAAUGGCAUAAUUUUACUUUUACGACGUCUCU